AUCUUUUUUUGAAUUGUUUUGAGUGCUCAGACUUUGAUUUUGGGUACAGUGAUUCAAAACAUUGAAUAGGACGAUCUAAUGC